rnacentral:tRNA from 1 species
GCGUCCGUAGCUCAGCUGGAUAGAGUACCUGGCUACGAACCAGGCGGUCAGAGGUUCGAAUCCUCUCGGNUUUU